UACGUAGGGUGCAAGCGUUGUCCGGAAUUAUUGGGCGUAAAGGGCUCGUAGGCGGUCCAUCACGUCGGGAGUGAAAAGCUGGGGCUUAACCCCAGUCCUGCUUCCGAUACGGGUGGACUAGAGGUAGGUAGGGGAGAACGGAAUUCCUGGUGUAGCGGUGAAAUGCGCAGAUAUCCGGAGGAACACCGGUGGCGAAGGCGGCUUCCUGGACCGACACUGACGCUGAGGCGCGAAAGCUAGGGGAGCAAACGGG
rnacentral:rRNA from 1 species